rnacentral:rRNA from 1 species
CUAAUACAUGCAAGUCGAGCGAACAGACGAGGAGCUUGCUCCUCUGACGUUAGCGGCGGACGGGUGAGUAACACGUGGAUAACCUACCUAUAAGACUGGGAUAACUUCGGGAAACCGGAGCUAAUACCGGAUAAUAUAUUGAACCGCAUGGUUCAAUAGUGAAAGACGGUUUUGCUGUCACUUAUAGAUGGAUCCGCGCCGCAUUAGCUAGUUGGUAAGGUAACGGCUUACCAAGGCAACGAUGCGUAGCCGACCUGAGAGGGUGAUCGGCCACACUGGAACUGAGACACGGUCCAGACUCCUACGGGAGGCAGCAGUAGGGAAUCUUCCGCAAUGGGCGAAAGCCUGACGGAGCAACGCCGCGUGAGUGAUGAAGGUCUUCGGAUCGUAAAACUCUGUUAUUAGGGAAGAACAAAUGUGUAAGUAACUAUGCACGUCUUGACGGUACCUAAUCAGAAAGCCACGGCUAACUACGUGCCAGCAGCCGCGGUAAUACGUAGGUGGCAAGCGUUAUCCGGAAUUAUUGGGCGUAAAGCGCGCGUAGGCGGUUUUUUAAGUCUGAUGUGAAAGCCCACGGCUCAACCGUGGAGGGUCAUUGGAAACUGGAAAACUUGAGUGCAGAAGAGGAAAGUGGAAUUCCAUGUGUAGCGGUGAAAUGCGCAGAGAUAUGGAGGAACACCAGUGGCGAAGGCGACUUUCUGGUCUGUAACUGACGCUGAUGUGCGAAAGCGUGGGGAUCAAACAGG